rnacentral:rRNA from 1 species
GAUGAACGCUGGCGGCGUGCCUAAUACAUGCAAGUCGAGCGAACGGACGAGAAGCUUGCUUCCCUGAUGUUAGCGGCGGACGGGUGAGUAACACGUGGAUAACCUACCUAUAAGACUGGGAUAACUUCGGGAAACCGGAGCUAAUACCGGAUGAUCUUUUGAACCGCAUGGUUCAAAAGUGAAAGACGGUCUUGCUGUCACUUAUAGAUGGAUCCGCGCUGCAUUAGCUAGUUGGUAAGGUAACGGCUUACCAAGGCAACGAUGCAUAGCCGACCUGAGAGGGUGAUCGGCCACACUGGAACUGAAACACGGUCCGGACUCCUACGGGAGGCAGCAGUAGGGAAUCUUCCGAAAUGGGCGAAAGCCUGACGGAGCAACGCCGCGUGAGUGAUGAAGGUCUUCGGAUCGUAAAACUCUGUUAUUAGGGAAGAACAUAUGUGUAAGUAACUGUGCACAUAUUGACGGUACCUAAUCAGAAAGCCACGGCUAACUACGUG